UGCCCUAUAGUUAAAUGGAUAUAACGGCCCCCUCCUAAGGGGCAAUUACAGGUUCGAUUCCUGUUGGGGCAGCCA
rnacentral:tRNA from 1 species